rnacentral:rRNA from 1 species
CAAUAGCGUAUAUUAAAGUUGUUGCAGUUAAAAAGCUCGUAGUUGGAUUUCUGGGAGGGUGCCAAUGUCCGUCGUCGUACGUGUUGCAGCGGCGCCCUUCCAUCCUUCUGUUAACGACUUUGGGCAUUCAUUUGCCGGAGUCGGGCUCAGAUAUUUUACCUUGAGAAAAUUAGAGUGUUCAGGCAGGCUAGGCCGGAAUACAUUAGCAUGGAAUAAUGGAAUAGGACGCUGGUUCUAUUUUGUUGGUUUUGAGAACCAGAGUAAUGAUUAAUAGGGACAGUGGGGGCAUUCAUAUUUCAUUGUCAGAGGUGAAAUUCUUGGAUUUAUGAAAGAUGAACUUCUGCGAAAGCAUUUGCCAAGGAUGUUUUCAUUAAUCAAGAACGAAAGUUAGGGGAUCGAAGACGAUUAGAUACCA